GUGAAAUUAGGGAACACCAUUAUGUAUUGUCCGAACACGGCAGUUGGAUGACACCCGUCUUAAUGAAAUUCGAGCUGCGACUUUGUCCGCAGAUAUGUUGAUUGAACGAGAUCAAAAGAAGCCUAUGUCGUUCUCAAAUAACAAAUAAGUAAAAAUAUACAUGGCAAUGGGCUGAAGACAUAGCUCGAAGAACUGACAACUGAUGGGGAAAACACGUUCUUGAGUGGCGGCCCCGUACGGUUAAACGCAGUGUAAGACAACCCCCACUAGAUGGAGUGACGAACUCAAAUACAUUGCAGAGAGUCAAGUGGAUGUUCAACAGUGAGCGGAUAAUGGCUGAGAUGAUGAUGAUAAAUAUAUAUAGUAUAUGUACACAAGGGAAUUCA